rnacentral:rRNA from 1 species
UACGUAGGGUGCAAGCGUUGUCCGGAAUUAUUGGGCGUAAAGGGCGCGUAGGUGGUGGCUUAAGCGUGCGGUGAAAGCUCGGGGCUCAACUCCGAGUCGGCCGUGCGAACUGGGCUCACUGGAGCAUAGUAGAGGCAGGUGGAAUUCCGGGUGUAGCGGUGGAAUGCGUAGAGAUCCGGAAGAACACCGAUGGCGAAGGCAGCCUCCUGGGCCAACACUGACGCUCAUGCACGAAAAGCGUGGGGGAGCAAACAGG